AUUGAACGCUGGCGGCAGGCCUAACACAUGCAAGUCGAGCGGAGCGUCGUACGGGUGAGUAAUGCCUAGGAAUCUACCUGGUAGUUUGGGAUAACUUCCGGAAACGUGCGCUAAUACCGCAUACUAGCAUAUCAUCCUAGGUCGGAUUAGCUAGUUGUUGGGGUAAAGGCCUACCAAGGCGACGAUCCGUAACUGGUCUGAGAGGAUGAUCAGUCACACUGGAAAUGAGACACGGUCCAGACUCCUACGGGAGGCAGCAGUGGGGAAUAUUGGGCAAUGGGCGAAAGCCGGAUACAGCCAUGCCGAGUGUGUGAAGAAGGUCUUCGGAUUGUAAAGCGCUUUAAGUUGAGAGGCGUUACCAACAGAAUAAGCACCGGCUAACUUCGUGCCAGCAGCCGCGGUAAUUC
rnacentral:rRNA from 1 species